UGGAGUCUGGAGAAGUGCCUUUACAUGAGCGCUUUUCACGGGUAAUUUUGAUUGCGAAAAAUUAAAUAUUUAUUGAAUUGCCAUAAGUGGAAUAAUUUAGUCAAUAAAAAAAGGGCUGAUAAUUAUAAAUAUCAAGAUAAGGGAUUCUUUUUAUUUUUCGCCUUUUUGGCAGAGUGUCAAUUGACAAAAUUUUUUUUAAGGCAGAUUGAACAGACAGAAUUGCAAUGUUACAGCUUAGAGGGGUACGAUGAAUUGGAAAUCUUAACAAUGUCACACGAGCCGCCCAUCAUUUUCAUCCCGACAAAACAUGCAAUCUAAAGAACGUCAGUUGUCAAUUUAAUUCCCCCACCCCCUCACCUCGUCUGUCAUCAAAUUUGUUAGCGCUGUUUUUGGUUUACGCUCCAGAAAUUAUUGGAUUUAAAUUAAUUUGAAAAGAGAAAGAAUAUCGCAAUGGCACGUGUAAGAACCUUCGAUUUGACUUUUUUUUCAGUUGAUGAUCAACUUAUAGUCUUCGAUGUAAUCACCACUUUGCUGAACAACCCGAAGUUCCUUAAACAAUACUAUCAGGACGGAACGGUACAACUAAUGCAGGUGAGAAGACAUCUUAAGAGGUCAAUCGUUAUAAAGUUGACUAUGGAUUAUCCAAACGUCGAUAUUCGUCUCAUGAAUCUGAAGUUGGAUCGUUCAAUUCCUAAGCCUAGAUUACGCUGCAAAUGUACUAUUUGUAGUACUCAACUGACCGAAGAACUAUUCGAAGCCAUGAAAUUACCCACUUCUUCUCCACGAAAAGAGAGUUUCUUUACCAGAUUCACCAAAGGACGCGUGGCUGGAAUUAUUCACGUCUGCUCGGUCCUCUUCUUCUCCUGGGUUUCCGUUCAUUUGUACUUUCGCUGGUUCGUUAACGACAAUCCUAAGUGAUUCUAAUUAAUUUUAAUCCAUUGAAUUGUUAGUCUAUUUGUUUGUUAAGAUAAUCAAUAGACUGCUUAGGGUAUUUUAAUUGUUUAAUUUAAUUAUAAUAAAUGAUAUUAGCAACUUGGGGGGAAACUUCUUCUACAUGUUUGUCACAUAAUUAUUCGUUGAUGUAACUUGUUUCACCGCUUUCCUUAAGCGUGUCCAAACAAUUGUAAUAAAAUGUAUUUGUUCAUUCCGAUAAUCACCAAGGUGUUCUCAUUUUCUUAAUAUUUAAUAAUAGUAAUCAUGUUACAAGCUUGAGGAAACUUGAGAGCCUUGUGAUAUGUUGUAAUGAGACUUUGUUCAAAAAUAAAAAAAUAAUAAUAAUA